rnacentral:rRNA from 1 species
GACGAACGCUGGCGGCGUGCUUAACACAUGCAAGUCGAACGGAAAGGCCCUGCUUUUGUGGGGUGCUCGAGUGGCGAACGGGUGAGUAACACGUGAGUAACCUGCCCUUGACUUUGGGAUAACUUCAGGAAACUGGGGCUAAUACCGGAUAGGAGCUCCUGCUGCAUGGUGGGGGUUGGAAAGUUUCGGCGGUUGGGGAUGGACUCGCGGCUUAUCAGCUUGUUGGUGGGGUAGUGGCUUACCAAGGCUUUGACGGGUAGCCGGCCUGAGAGGGUGACCGGCCACAUUGGGACGGAGAUACGGCCCAGACUCCUACGGGAGGCAGCGGUGGGGAAGAUUGCACAAUGGGCGGAAGCCUGAUGCAGCAACGCCGCGUGCGGGAUGACGGCCUUCGGGUUGGAAACCGCUUUCGCCUGUGACGAAGCGUGAGUGACGGUAAUGGGUAAAGAAGCACCGGCUAACUACGUG